rnacentral:snRNA from 1 species
GGAUGCCAGGGCAAUUGGCUGUGACAUCUAUUACUCUACGAUUGCCAAGGUUGAUUUGGCUGAUCCAGCUGACUAGGUAGGUGUCGCCUUACUGCUUCAUUUGUAGGAGAACGUAGGGUAGUUGAGCUUCCAAAUUCCAGAUACAUCCAAAUGAGGACUGCCUAUGGCAGUCUGCCUUUAUUU